rnacentral:rRNA from 1 species
UACGGAAGGCAGCAGUGGGGAAUAUUGCACAAUGGGCGCAAGCCUGAUGCAGCCAUGCCGCGUGUAUGAAGAAGGCCUUCGGGUUGUAAAGUACUUCAGUCGUGAGGAAGGUGUUAAGGUUAAUAACCUUAGCAAUUGACGUUAGCGACAGAAGAAGCACCGGCUAACUCCGUGCCAGCAGCCGCGGUAAUACGGAGGGUGCGAGCGUUAAUCGGAAUUACUGGGCGUAAAGGGCACGCAGGCGGUUAAUUAAGUUGGAUGUGAAAUCCCCGGGCUUAACCUGGGAAUGGCAUUCAAGACUGGUUAGCUAGAGUCUUGUAGAGGGGGUAGAAUUCCAUGUGUAGCGGUGAAAUGCGUAGAGAUGUGGAGGAAUACCGGUGGCGAAGGCGGCCCCUGGACAAAGACUGACGCUCAUGUGCGAAAGCGUGGGGAGCAAAC